UACGUAGGGGGCGAGCGUUGUCCGGAUUUAUUGGGCGUAAAGAGCGUGUAGGCGGCCAGGUAGGUCUGCUGUGAAAACUCGAGGCUCAACCUCGAGACGCCGGCAGAAACCAUCUGGCUAGAGUCCGGAAGAGGAGAGUGGAAUUCCUGGUGUAGCGGUGAAAUGCGCAGAUAUCAGGAAGAACACCCGUGGCGAAGGCGGCUCUCUGGGACGGUACUGACGCUGAGACGCGAAAGCGUGGGGAGCGAACAGG
rnacentral:rRNA from 1 species